CGCAGGCUCCGGCCUGGUGGAGGCGAGGCGGGCUCCGCGGCCUCCCCCGGGUCAGUCCGAGUUUAGUCUGCGGAGGCGACGGCGGGGGAGCGGGCCGGGGCCAAGAUGGACCCCAAGCCAGACAGGCGCUCCCCUGCCCCUCCCCGCGCCUCGCCCCUGCCCCCAUAGCCCGUCUCCGGCAGGACGGACUAAUCUGCCCGGCUUGCGCCUGCUGCCAACCCUGCCCGCAAUCUAGAGCCCAGCCUGGAUGGAGUGUUUAAGCAAGAAUGUCACCUGAGAACACACUGCAUGGUGGACACUGCUCCAAUUCCCAGGAAUCCUUUGCUCCCUGUCCACUUCCUGUGGCCCAGAGCAUGGUACAGGAAAAGAUCUGGCCUAGGAAUUCGACAAGGCCCAGGGGUAGCCUUGGAAGUGCUGCGAACGAGAGGCAACUCACUUUACUCUCAUUUUCCACAACAGCUGCAUGGACAAUAAUCUUUAUCUUGCCUUAUCUGUAAGUAUAUUGUGGGAAUACAAUUAGAUAAUUGUC
rnacentral:lncRNA from 1 species